ensembl:lncRNA
GAAAAUUCCCGCAAAUAUUCCCACCGGUGCGCAGGCAGGCAAUUAGGAACUGAUUAAUUUCAUUUUGCGGUGCGCAGGCAAGAGGAACUGCAACUGGAACGGCAACUGGAACUGGUUAUCAUUUCAAAAAUAUGGCGACACAUUGGUUGAAUGGUGUUAAAAAACGGUUGAAGAAGCCACAUGACUCCAGGGUCCACCAAGAUGUUGUUAUUAUUAGGGGGGAUGCCAAGGAGUUCAUGGAGGGUUACAUCAAAGAAGUGCAGGAGAAGGACCAUUGCUACUUCAGACCCCCAGUCUGCCGCCGGAAGGACUAUUAUUACUAUGGCUGUGACCGUGGGAAUCACGCUGCAGGCAAAAGUAAUGGAGAAGCCACACAAACUCGGGCCAAUUCUUGCAAGGCAUACAUCUCUUUCAAAGUCAUCACGGAUGCCGGAAUAUCAGGUGCCAUAAUCCAAAAGAUGCUACAGCACACUGGCCAUGACGAGGGUAAUUCUAAAGAGAAAAACCGCAUCCACCCAGACCUGCAUUCCCUCAUUGAAAUAUGGCUUCAACAGGGUUGUUCUACUUCUGAGAUCUUAAUAAAAAGCUAUGAUUGGGCUCAACAAAAUGGGCAUGUGGACAAAAAAGACCGCCGGUUUUACUUGACCCCUAAUGACAUUCGGCUUUUAAAGAAAACAGUGAUUCUGUCAGUGUGGACCAUUUGGUUUCCAUGGAACUCAGAGACAACAUCUGUUUUUUUCAGCCACUUCACAAUGAACAACCAUUCAUUUUAGUUGUACAAACACCAUUUCAAAAACAACUUUUGGAAGAGAACCCUCAUCCAAUGGUUUUCAUGGAUGCUUCAUACAAAGGCAUAACAGCCUACGGGUAUGCAUUUUAUGCACUGUUAUUGAUAAACAAAACUGGAAGAGGCGUGCCAUUUGCCUAUUUUAUCCUGAGCAAGGAAACUACUGCAACAGUAAGCCUCUGCCUACAGAAGCUUCAAUUGAGUAACCCAAGCUUCUAUCCAAGGUCAGUGAUGAUGGACUGUGACUUGAGAGUGCUUAAUGCUAUUAAAAGCGUUUUCCCAAAUGCAAAGCUUCUCCUUUGUUGGUUCCAUGUGCUUCAGGCUGUUAACCGGUGGCUUGUGAAGACAGAUGGAGGUCACCUGACACCUGAACAAAGAAAUGUGGUCAUUCAUGCCAUGGCAUCAAUGAAAGCAUGUCUGACGGAGGAAGAGUUUCUCAAUGUAUCUGCCAAGAAAUGCAGUGAGAUCGACACCUUUUUGGAUAGUCCCCAUGUAACAACUUAUCUGAAGACAAAUUGGUUUACUUAUGCGGAGCUGUGGGUAAACUUUGGCAGAACGUUCUAUCACUGUAGCAGUGAGACAAACAACAAGGCUGAAAGCUACAUGGAUGGCCUCAGCGAAGCAGGACGACUGACAUUAUCCAGCUCUGCUGCUCACCAGGCUGCUGCGCUGCUAUUUAAAAAUGGUGUGGGCUAAGAUUUGGACAUAGAAGUGGGGCAGUGCUUUGUGCCAUCACAGUCAACCAACACAGCCUACAAAGUUAACUUGUUACACUUCACGUGUGAAUGCACCAAUUUCCGGAUGGGAAACAUAUGCAAACAUCUUCUCUUGGUGAAGAUGGAGGUAGGCAGGAGAGGUAUUGACAUUGAAAAAAUGCGGAAUAAUAAAGCGCUAGAAAUCAUCAGCCUCCGUCUCUAUCAGCAGACUGAAGAUGAAAUAACCAUCUUCAAUAGUGAUGGGACUAUGAGUAUUGUGAAUAGGAAAACUCCGACUUUGUGCACAUGCAUUGCUAAUAGUUUUGGAGAAAGAUGUGUUUGCAUACAUGUCACACAUGUCCUCAAGCCUCAAGACAUUCUCACAGACCCCAAAGAAAAUGCACAAGUGUCUGAAUCCUCCCAUACAGUCCAUGUUAUCAGACCUACUACAGUGGAGCAACUCCGAAGCAUUUGAACAUACCCCUGAACUGUACCAUACCAUCCAAAGAGCACACA